rnacentral:tRNA from 1 species
GGGGACGUAGCUCAGCUGGCUAGAGCACCUGCUUUGCAAGCAGGGGGUCGUGGGUUCGAGUCCCUUCGUCUCCACCA